GUUACUUUAACAAAAAAGUGUAUUAAACUUAGAAUUUAAAAAUGUAAUUUUAAUUACAAGUAAUA
rnacentral:tRNA from 1 species